rnacentral:lncRNA from 1 species
GGAUAGGGAUCCGUUUUGUGCAACGGAACUAUACGGAGCAAAUUGAAAGGCACAACCUGAGGAUCAAGACCACUAUUCAUUUCCCAGUCCCAUUUCUGGGCUUUGGUUAUAUAUCGACCAAAUGAAAGUGAGUGAACAGGGCUAAGCAUUGAAUGAACUGCCUUCCUCGGCCGGGCUAGCAACGUGGAACCGAGGGGAAGAAAUGAGCUAUGUAUCCAGCUGGCUACGGACUCGCUAACGAGAAAGGCGGCUAGAAAGAGUUAUCUAGACUGGAGGCUAAUCGGAGGCUAACUCGCCCAUGUAUGGUUGACUGUCCCCC